GUGUCGCUGGGAGGAGAGGUGAGGGCACUAAGGGCAGCGCAGCGGCGGGAAAGGAGGUAGGGGCGGGGACAGCGCUCGGGGAGAAGAAGGGGUAGGGUGGCUGUAGUAGGAGAUGGCGAGAGGAGCAACACUCAGCGAGGUCCAGCGUCUCCUACUAUACGUAGGCCUAGACGCGUCAACUCCACUCCUUGCCUCCACCCCCCUUCCUCGUCGCUACGACCACUGGUCAGUCCCCUGCCUCCACCUCCUUCCUCAUCGUUCCGACCACUACCCGGUCCCCGGUGGUCUCCUACGUCUUCCCCCUGCUGCAGCGCGAAGAGCGGUGGAGGUGUAGGAGGAAUAGUCGCCGCCGCGUUGAGGUCGUCCCUUCCCCCUGCUGCGACGCGAAGACUACGACCAAGUGUACGUCCAAAGUCUCUCAUCGUGGUACGUAACGUACUACUGACACCCACUAGAAACGUUCUGUUACGAAAACUCAUAGCACUUAAUACCAGUAAGAGUUUUCCCAAUUAGUCAGUAGACAAGCAGACAUAACGAUGAGCCCCUCCAUUCAAGAAGGAACGAGUAGAGUAUAAGCUGUUUAAGUACACUUGACUCUACUGAGAGGUACUCGACCGGUUCCACUAAGUGCGAUUCCUUCGUCGGCUGUCACGUUCUGAGACGAUAAUCUUGCCGACUUCCUCUCAUACGUCUAGAAGUCAUAGAAGCUGUCCAAAAACAAGACAAUGUUCGCGAUUACCGGAUAAAAGUAAAACAACUUGAUACUAACAAAGACAUACGAAGAAGAGAUUUUCGUUUAACAUAAGACAAUAUCAAUGUCAGUCACACCCGGACUUUUAAGUGUAGUGGUUUUCUUAACAUCUUAAACUAUUCUCUUAACAAAGAAUUAUUCAUUUAUUCUAUGUUUAUGUCACAGAUUGUAACUACCUUACUUGGACGACGUUCUCCGUUAUUUUCACUGCUACGAACUAAAAUAAUUAACUGUCCUACUUUAUAAUUCAUCAUUCUAUUUACACUCGUAAGUGGAUUAAACAAAAAAUGGAUAACUUUACCCAUCAACCAGUGCAUAACAGUUGAACCAUGUAAGUCACACGCACAAGUCCAAAAUCCUACUUUAAAUUAGGUUCUAGUAAUGAAGUACAAAAGGAUGCAAAUACAACCGUAGAAACUGAAACUAUACAAGUAACGUGAGAUAACCAAGACUACGGUGUUUCACUGACACGAAACAAUCAUGUAGAUACCUAUGAAUACGAAAUAAGUUCUGUGUUAGUCAAAGAAAAAGGAAACAUUUAUCAGACAUCUAUAUCGCAACCGGACUCGGGGAUUUCACAGCAUAUGAUAAAGGACGUACGAGUAAAAGAGAAAUAUAAGUUAAGUACACGGAAUCGUUGUUAGAUUCAAUUUCUGUUGUCCUUAUUUAUAAUCAACAAAGUAGAUACCGGAGCAGUAAAUCGAAAAUGAAUUUGACUUAUUUUUUUAACAUAUUAAAGUUAUAUAUGAUAAAUUACAAAACGGUUCUGAGAGUAUCACACAAUUUUUAAAUUUAUAUAUUGAUACGUUAUUGUUUCAAUAUUUAACUAGGUCACAAAGCAUACUUCCUAAGCUAAUCACAUAAACAUUACGUCAAAACACUAAGUCAUAGCAGCACCAUCAAGUUUCUGGGUUCCACUCUAGCAGUAUAAACUAAAGAAUCAAGGAUCCAGUGUUUAGUAGACGAUAGCGGUUGUAAGCUCAACAGGUAGGUAGGUAGAUAGAUACCACGCGAGCGGUUGGUGUAGGAGACAAGUCUAAAACUCACACCGUUGUCCAGUAGUCAACAUCACAGUUUAUGUUCUAAUUCGAUAAACUUAGAACGGUAUACCAUCUGGAUGCUCGUCUUGUUUUUUUUUUAUAUUGAAUACGACCAAUCUUGUUUACGAGUCGAGCGGAACAAAAAAAGAAAAAACGGAGAAAAACCAGGACAAGUCUCCUCUACAAUUUACAACCAACUACAGACGUAUAGCGGAACAUAAAUUACUUUUAUUCCAGGAAGCUACCUAUAGGUACCGAAAGUCAAAAUGAACGUCGGUUACUUAUAUCAAUACCGUGAACAACGGAACAACGCGACAAGUUACUAAUAGUCCUAAAAUUGUGGAUGUGAUAUAUAGGAUCCAUUUGGUGUACCACAACAAAAGUUUAGUAUACAAACAGGAUCCAUUUGGUGUCCUUAAAUACUUGAAAGAACCGGCGAAAUAAUCUUGAUGCCCAAACAUUAUACGAGGCCAAAAUAGUGAAAUACUCAUACAUAUACCAUCCCUCGUCGUGGGCACAUUCGCUCUUUUGAACAACCAACGGACGUAUAGUACACUAUCAAAAACCGAUGAUAAGACGAGUACAAAGGUACUUGGGUAAAUACUAAGCUUCGUCAGUCCGGAGAGAGAAGGAAGAUUAAAAAGGUACUUGUGGUACCGGCGGAAGCGGCUCUCGCGGGCGUAGAAGUAGGUAACGGAGAGACGGUCCAGACGUGUCUUUAUGUAAAUCAGGAGUUUUUACAAUUUACUUCUGCGGGACUACUACGAUUUCGUAAAGAUUUAGACUUCAUAGCUCCUUCAAUUGUUGUACCUUACAUACUGCGAUUCACGAGACACCAUGUCUACCAAAUCAUCAUGGUAUGAUGGAACUAAUCUACGAAUAUUGACACUGUACAAGGUACUUAUGAAGACAAUGCAUAUCGAUACCGACGGGUUGUUCGCCACUCGGAUUCUUGGGGCAGCCUACAAGUAACGUAUAUCGAGCCCUCCGUCUGUUCUCCUUGGUUCGCCUAGAGGAAGGUACUGCCGUUGGGUUCGUCUUGGUUUUAGAAGGUGCACCGCCGUCGGUAAUCACUCUAGACCUCCCCUCGUCGUCGGCGCCGGAGCUAGGCCUCUUCCCCUCGUCGUCGCGGGGAGAAGAAGCGUGCACCGCCGGAACGCGUCGACGGAGGUAGGGUGCGCACGUCGACGGUGUACUUCCGUUCGCUCGUGUGUACUUUAUCUAUACCGUUCACCUAAAGGAGAGUGGAGUUGUGAGUGACUUAAGUCAUGGUCUUCUUCGGACGAUACGGUGACUAAAACGUGAUGACCACAUUUAUAACUCUUGAUAUACUUGGCUACGUGGAACACCAGACCUUUAUACGAGGACUAACACACCUAUAAACGUCGAAGUCUUAAUAAAAUAAGAAUCGGUAUACAGUAGUUCCACGUCGACGAGUAUACUAAAGGUGAGCGAUACCUUAAUCCUCUUCAGUCAAUGAACUAGACUGACAAAUUUCAAGGUGCCAAAAAGUUAUAUACAAUUGAUACAAGUCUCUAGAUUUUCUGAUAGUCCGAUGUGGUUAAGACUUACGUCAAACUUUCGAACAAAGUGCUUCACUCAUACGUUCUAUUGAAGUCCGUUUCACAUGUCUCCGACGUCGACUUCGGCCUGAAACUACGAACGUUCAACCACCUAGUGGUCAAUAAUAGUCCAAGUUAGGGAAACGGUACAUUAUGACACCGCUGUAACAGACAAUACAUAUUAACACGUGUGUCCAAAGACAACCUUGUUAGUGACUUUUGCUACUAUCUGAAACAGAGUGUACACAGCGAGUGACUACUCUUGAUCUGACUUCACUUAACACGAUCUCUUCCUCACCGGCCCUUUCAUGUGGUCACUACGGGAUGUUCCGCUCGUCUUCUUUCGAUUUCUCUACGAGGCACAUUAGGGAUUCUUCGUCUUUCCCUCGUUUUCUUGUCCAGGCGAAGUUCCCAUUUUAGGAGACAAAAAAAAAAGCUUUUCCUCCAAUAAGGGGCCGGAGACGUAGUCUUACUACGUACGCGGGUAGAAUAAUUAUUCGACUAUUUUAGUAGACAUUAGGGAUUAACACGAAAACACUUUUAUACAUCUAGUCAAACUACGACCUGUGCUAAUUAAAUGAUAACAACCAUGUACAUCUUCAUUAAGACCUAAUCGGUGUAACACCAAAGGAUGAUCCUUGACUUUAAUACGGGUCAAGUAACCGUACCAUAAUACAACUACAUGAGAGUAAUAGACGUAAUUACAAUUAUGAAGUC
rnacentral:rRNA from 1 species